rnacentral:rRNA from 1 species
GUCCACGCUGUAAACGAUGAGAGCUAGUUGUCGGCAUGCAUGCAUGUCGGUGACGCAGCUAACGCAUUAAGCUCUCCGCCUGGGGAGUACGGCCGCAAGGUUAAAACUCAAAGAAAUUGACGGGGGCCCCGCACAAGCGGUGGAGCAUGUGGUUUAAUUCGAAGCAACGCGCAGAACCUUACCCACGCUUGACAUGUCCGGUUUGAUCGGCGGAGACGCCUUUCUUCACUUCGGGUGGCCGGAACACAGGUGCUGCAUGGCUGUCGU